UACGAAGGGGGCUAGCGUUGCUCGGAAUCACUGGGUGUAAAGGGUUCGUAGGCGGUGCGGCAAGUCGGGCGUGAAAUCUCUGGGCUUAACCCAGAGGCUGCUUCCGAAACUGCUGUGCUUGAGUAUGGGAGAGGCGCGUGGAAUUGCAGGUGUAGCGGUGAAAUGCGUAGAUAUCUGCAGGAACACCCGUGGCGAAAGCGGCGCGCUGGACCACUACUGACGCUGAGGAACGAAAGCUAGGGGAGCAAACAGG
rnacentral:rRNA from 1 species